rfam:Picea glauca, whole genome shotgun sequence.
CUCAUGGAGAGUUUGAUCCUGGCUCAAGAUGAACGUUGACAUCAUGCUUAACACAUGCAAGUCGGAUGGGAAGUGGUGUUUCCAGUGGUGGAUGGGUGAGCAACACGUAAGAACCUGCCCUUGGGAGGAGAACAACAACUGGAAACCAUUGCUAAUACCCCACAAGCUAAGGAGGAAAAGGAGAAAUCUACCCAAGGAGGGGCUCACAUUUGAUUAGUUAGGUGGUGAGGCAAUGACUUACCAAGGUGACGAUUAGUAGCUGGUCCGAGAGGAUGAUCAACCACACUGUGAUUCAGACAAGGCCCAGACUCCUACGUGAGGCAACAAUGAGGAAUUUUCUGCAAUGGGAAAAAUCUUGACAAAACAAUGCCGUGUGAAGGCAGAAGGCCCACGGGUCAUGAACUUCUUUUCUCGGAGAAGAAGCAAUGACGAUAUUUGAGGAAUAAACAUCAAUUAACUCUAUACCAGUAGAUGCAGUAAGACAGAGGAUGGAAGCGUUAUCUGAAAUGAUUGGGUGUAAAGCGUCUGUAGAUGGCUUUUCAAGUCCGCUGUCAAAUCCCAGGGCUCAACCCUAGACAAGUGGUGGAAACUACCAAGCUAGAGUAUAGUAGGGGUAGAGGGAAUUUCUGGUGGAGCAAUGAAAUGCGUUGAGAUAAAAAAUAACACCAACAGAGAAAGCACUUUGUUGGGCCAACACUGACACUAAGAGACAAAAUCUAGGGGAGCAAAUGGGAUUAGCUACCCCAGUAUUCCUAGCUGUAAACGAUGUAUACUAAGUGUUGUGUGUAUCGACUUGCAAAGUGUUGUAGCUAACACGUUAAGUAUCCCGCCUGGGGAGUAUGUUCGCAAGAAUGAAACUCAAAGGAAUUGACGGGGGCUCGCACAAGCAGUGGAGCAUGUGGUUCAAUUAGGUGCAAAGCAAAUAACCUUACCAGGGCUUGACAUGCCCUGAAUCCUCCCGAAAGAGAGGAGUACCUUUGGGAAUGUGGACAUAGGUGAUGCAUGGCUAUCAUCAGCUCUACCGUAAGGUGUUAGGUUAAGUCCCACAAUGAGUGUAACCCUCAUGUUUAGUUUCCAGCAUUGAGUUUCGAACCCUGAACAAACUAUCGGUGAUAAGCCAGAGGAAGGUGAGGAUGGCGUCAAGUCAUCAUGCUCCUUACGCCCUAGGUGACACAAAUGCUACAAUGACCAAGACAAAGGGUCACGACCUUGAGAGGGCAAGCUAACCUCAAAAACUUGACCUUAGUUCAGAUUGCAGGCUGCAACUCGUCUGCAUGAAGCCAUAAUUGCUAGUAAUCUCUCGUCAGCCAUACGCCGAUGAAUCCAUUCCCGAGCCUUGUACACACCACCCAUUGUUGAAAUAUUGUAACUUCAAAGAAUAUUCUAAUUAAUUUUGAGUUAUUAUCUUAUAU